AUGCACAUGCCAGCAGUGCUUGUACAACAACUCACAGCUGUACACCCGGGGAACUUGUGUGGCAGCAAGUACUUCAGCAAUUUCACUUUGUUCAUGCGACAACUCCUUACGCAGAGAACCAUGAUACCAUCCUACUAUCUCUUGAUAGAAACUUUCACAGCACUGCCUGAGGAGAGGGAAAAUCCCAACACACAUGCAUACACCUCCUUUAAUUCCUAG
rnacentral:lncRNA from 1 species